UACAGAGGGGGCGAGCGUUGUUCGGAAUUACUGGGCGUAAAGGGCGCGUAGGCGGCCUGCUAUGUCGAACGUGAAAUCCCCGGGCUCAACCCGGGAACUGCGUCCGAAACUGGCAGGCUUGAAUCCGGGAGAGGGAUGUGGAAUUCCAGGUGUAGCGGUGAAAUGCGUAGAUAUCGAGAGGAACACCUGCGGCGAAGGCGGGUUGCUGGGCUGACACUGACGCUGAAGUGCGAAAGCUAGGGGAGCGAACGGG
rnacentral:rRNA from 1 species